GGGGACACAGAGCUCCCACCGCAUGCUGGGCUUUAGUGAUGCCUUACUAUCCAUCAUCGCCACUGUCAUGGUCAGUGUGGGGCCCGCCUCAAACCUACCACUCCUUUCUGUGGCAGCCUCGGAUGCCCAAACCUUUCAUGCAGGUGCAGCCUGCCCAGCAGUGGUCAAGAGCCAACAUAACUACUGAAGAGCCCAGCCCCAGAAGUAUUGCUUGGUCAUUUUUGUCUUUGUUCCUUUAGAUCCUGCCUGUGACCCACACAGAGAUCUCACCAGAACAGCAGUUUGACAAAAGUAUACAGAAACUUCUAGCAACUAGGAUUGCUGUCUACCUCAUGACAUUUCUAAUCGUAACUGUGGCCUGGGCAGCACAUACCAGGUAGGGAAUUAACCCAGGGUCCUCAUUGUCAUGAUUUACUCAGGGUGGACAAAAGACAUGGACUGUUACACUACUGCAG
rnacentral:lncRNA from 1 species